GUGGGGAAUAUUGGGCAAUGGGCGAAAGCCUGACCCAGCAACGCCGCGUGAAGGAAGAAGGUCUUCGGAUCGUAAACUUCUAUCCUUGGUGAAGAUAAUGACGGUAGCCGAGAAGGAAGCCCCGGCUAACUACGUGCCAGCAGCCGCGGUAAUACGUAGGGGGCAAGCGUUGUCCGGAAUGAUUGGACGUAAAGGGCGCGUAGGCGGCCUGGUAAGUCUGGAGUGAAAGUCCUGCUUUUAAGGUGGGAAUUGCUUUGGAUACUGUCGGGCUUGAGUGCAGGAGAGGUAAGUGGAAUUCCCGGUGUAGCGGUGAAAUGCGUAGAGAUCGGGAGGAACACCAGUGGCGAAGGCGACUUACUGGACUGUAACUGACGCUGAGGCGCGAAAGUGUGGGGAGCAAACAGGAUUAGAAACCCGGGUAGUCC
rnacentral:rRNA from 1 species